GUACAUUUUUUCUCCCACUACUGUCUCGGAGCUACAGUGGACACGGUUGUCGGCAGGCUAAUAUUACAGCAACAAAGCGAACGGGAUGCAGGGUAGGAAAACCGACUGACAAUUGCAUGAGUGAGGAUACCAGGGAGAGGCUUUUUUUAACGGUAUUUCUCCGGUAUAGGCUGUAGAGCCUACAUGUUUUAUAAGAGACAAAAAUAGAAGACAAAAGGACAAACGGGUCAUAUUUUGCUGCCUCGAAAAGUCGACUCGCUUUCAGUCUGCAACAAUGGAAUUAAGUUUUAUAUUGCCUGCUAUUCUUUUCACGCUGUUCGCUAUUAUUCUGGUGACAGCAUUGUUCAGCACCAACGAUACUUCUACUGUCUCGUCCUCUGGCUCUGCUGCAUCCAAAGCGGAUCACUCAGGGGAGGGAUCUUUGGCGCAGUCCGGGAGAGAGGAUGUGAAAACGGGAUUAGCUAAAUCAGGACCGUCGGUAAAUCUUACGGAGAAACAGGGGACAGCAGCAAGGCUAACCUUAACGGACAAAUCGGAGGAGGACAGUAAAUGUCGAUCUGUCGGAAAAAUAAUGGAUCCGAUGGCAGCGGACAGAAGGACAGUUGAGGAGGAGGGGCUGCCCGCUGCAGAAGUUAGGACCCAUGCUGCUCACGAGAAAAAGGUGAAAUCCGGCAUUAUGUCUGGCCAACGGUACUCAACCUCAAACCCUGCCUCAGCACCAGUGGAUAUUCCAGGUAGAGACUUUGGUCACCUACAGUUCCCUGAGGGGGGGUCGUUACUGUGCCCUUUCUCCUACCGACAGACAGUGGGUGCCACAGAGAGCCCAGAGUACAGCAACGAUAUGGAGGUAGUGGAAGUGCCCCUGAAAUACGUCCCUGGCAUGCUGCGGACCAGCCAGAUGGAGAAGAUGAUGACCAAAGAGGAGCUGGAGGAGGAACAGAGGGUAGAGUUCACCACUGACUUUACCUCUCUGUAAGUCCCUCGGACAGACAGGCAGACAUGCAGACAGACAGGGGCUGUAGUAAAAACAUGGGUGCAACGGGAGCAGCUGGCAGCCAUCUUCCAGCUGCUGAAGGAGAACCAGGAGACGUUUGGGGAGGUGUCAGAGGGAGACGUGGAGGAGCAGCUCAGACUCUACUCCAUCUGAUCCCCUACUCUACUCACACCCUACUACAACUGACUACAACAUCUGAACCCCUACUCUACUCAUUUCCUACAUUAACUGACUACAGCAUCUGAAACCCUACUCUACUCACACGCUACUACAACUGACUACAGCAUCUGAAGCCUUACUCUACUCACACCCUACUACAACUGACUACAGCAUCUGAAGCCCUACUCUACUCACACCCUACUAGUUUUCUGUACUAAUUCUAACUCUACUUUCCCCAAACUCUACUCUGUUAAUCCCACAUGAAACUGACAAUCAAGAUUAAGGGGGCAUUGUUUCAAUGGUCCACUCUAUUUUGAACCGCAUACCCUUCUCUGAAGACUCUGAGGCGUUGAAAUAACCAAUAAGGUUUUGUAUAGUUGGACCUGAGUCAUUUGAUUGGUCUGAUACAAUCUAAGACAUUGGUAUUCAAAGUCGGGGUCGCGACCAGGGGAACUGCAGUGGGGUCGCCAACAUGAUUUAUUUUUUUUGUAUAGUUUUUCGUAACAAAAAAAUCAAGAUUAUUGUAUGGGACAAUAUACAAUAUAACGUUUUUGAGAAAGAUCAUUUGAAAAAUACAAUUUUAUUGAGUAAAUGUAUUUAUUGGUUUCUUCAUUUUGAUAAGAGAUGAAAAUAUAAUUAAUUGAAGUUUUUUUGUUGAUGUAAAAAUCUAAAUUUACAGAUUUGAAGGUGUUGUCAUUAGAUUUGGGGUGGAGUCGCAAGAUAUUAUUGGGAGAAAAAUGGGGUCCCGACAGAGUUUGAAUACCACUGAUCUAAGAGGUUCUUAUACCGUACACACCCAUGAAAGCCAAUAGUUUCGGCAAGCCUCAUGGUGAAACAACAUACACUUAUCUGAAUGCACCUUUCUCCUUUCACCUAUUCCCUACCUUUCCUCGCCCAUAUCCUUCUCUCACCCAUCGCUAUCACUCCUACCGUUUCCAAUGCAGCAGAUGUCCUUCUCUAGACAGCUCUGUGCAAGCAAACACAACAUUGGCACCAACACAAACAUGUACAUUAGAUACUCCUAUGUACAUUAGAUACUGCUGUUUAUUACUUCUUAAUGGUACUUAAUGGUUUAAUACCAUUCAAAACAAUAAACACAGUGUAUUUGAUACAA